rnacentral:rRNA from 1 species
UACAGAGGUCUCAAGCGUUGUUCGGAUUCAUUGGGCGUAAAGGGUGCGUAGGCGGCGCGGUAAGUCGGGUGUGAAAUCUCGGAGCUUAACUCCGAAACUGCAUUCGAUACUGCCGUGCUUGAGGACUGGAGAGGAAACUGGAAUUUACGGUGUAGCAGUGAAAUGCGUAGAGAUCGUAAGGAAGACCAGUGGCGAAGGCGAGUUUCUGGACAGUUACUGACGGCUGAGGCACGAAGGCCAGGGGAGCAAACGGG